AACGAACGCUGGCGGCGUGCCUAACACAUGCGAGUCGAACGUGAUUGAGAGCUUGCUCUCAUGAAAGUGGCGCACGGGUGAGUAACGCGUAGAUAAUCUACCUGGUGAUCCGGGAUAACACCUCGAAAGGGGUGCUAAUACCUGAUAAGCCCACGGGGUCUUCGGACUCUGCGGGGAAAGGGGGGGACCUUUAGGCCUUCCGUCAUCAGAUGAGUCUGCGUACCAUUAGCUAGUUGGUAGGGUAAAGGCCUACCAAGGCGACGACGGUUAGCUGGUCUGAGGGGUGGGUCAGCCACACUGGAACUGAGACACGGUCCAGACUCCUACGGGAGGCAGCAGUGGGGAAUUUUGCGCAAUGGGGGAAACCCUGACGCAGCAACGCCGCGUGAGUGAUGAAGGCCCUUGGGUCGUAAAGCUCUGACAGAGGGAAAGAAGUGCAGGGGUGCUAAUAUCACCUUUGCUUGACGGUACCCUCAAAGGAAGCACCGGCUAACUCCGUGCCAGCCGCCGCAGUAAUAC
rnacentral:rRNA from 1 species